rnacentral:rRNA from 1 species
CCGCUACCACGCGAGUGGAUGCCAAUCCCCAAAACCUCUCUCAGUUCGGACUGGAGUCUGCAACCCGACUCCACGAAGCUGGAUUCGCUAGUAAUCGCGCAUCAGCCACGGCGCGGUGAAUACGUUCCCGGGCCUUGUACACACCGCCCGUCAAGCCAUGGGAGCCGGGGGUACCUGAAGUGCGUAACCGCGAGGAGCGCCCUAGGGUAAAACUGGUGACUGGGGCUAAGUCGUAACAAGGUACC